UAUCGCCAGUGUGAGAAGGCGUCAGCUGGCCCCCUCCGUGAGAGCCGCCAGUAUAUACGGCGCUCGGUCGCCCCUCAGGCCAGUGCGACCUCGCUCUUCAGCCAGCUCUGCCACCAUGCUUCGCCUUGCCUCCUUCCUCUUGACGCUGGGCAUCGCUCUCGCCCAGCCUCUGGACAAAAUUCUCGAGGGCGACCUCACAGCUCUCCUGCAGGAGCGCUCGCGCCCUACGACCCGCCACUGUGCCAGCGAUCACCAACUUGAACAUCGUUACUGACCAUAGCAGGUAAGGGCUUCGGCGUAAAUU